rnacentral:lncRNA from 1 species
AGAUGGCAAUCAAGUUUACAACCUGGACUGGUUAGGGUGGUAUCCGACCGGUUCAUGCAGGCCGGGUCAGUCUUCCUAUCUACCCCUCUCUCACUUUCUCUCUCCUUUCCAUUAUUUCCCUUUAAUUAUUUAUUAUAAUUUUCUUUUGCAGAAUCCACCGGGUGCCAAUAAUUUUGCAUUACAAAUUGUACCUUUUACAUUGCAGGUUGUGUAACUUAUUCUAGAUAUAACUUCAACGAUUGAUUAUUGAAAGAAAAACUAGCAACAAUCGUACUUAUUUCUCUUUUUCACAUACAUAUAUAAUAUAUAUAUAUAUAUAUGUAAUUUCUUAAUUUCAUGGUUCUUUUUCAGAAAGUAAAGCUGUGAAGGACUCAGAUAGAAGAAGCAGUACCUUUUAAACAUAAAAAGGGGAUGUAUGUAAUGGGAAAAAAAGAAGAUAUUCUUCCUGGGCAGGCCUUCUUUAUGAAAUUGUCUGAAGAAAGAAGAAAAGCUGAGAACGAUAGUGGAGGUGGUGUCAAUGGAUGGGGGGCAGCAUGCCUCUUAAAGUAGUAAAGGUAUAUAUUGGAAUCAGGCCACAACGAUGAUACAACUUUGGGAGUGGGAACCAUAAUUAGUGAUAAACACUUCAUUAGGUUUUUCUCAAGGGGAUCCAG